UACGUAGGUGGCAAGCGUUGUCCGGAAUUAUUGGGCGUAAAGCGCGCGCAGGCGGUCCUUUAAGUCUGAUGUGAAAGCCCACGGCUCAACCGUGGAGGGUCAUUGGAAACUGGGGGACUUGAGUGCAGAAGAGGAGAGUGGAAUUCCACGUGUAGCGGUGAAAUGCGUAGAGAUGUGGAGGAACACCAGUGGCGAAGGCAGCCCCCUGGGCCGACACUGACGCUCAGGCACGAAAGCGUGGGGAGCAA
rnacentral:rRNA from 1 species